GCCCCCGUAGCUCAGUGGUUAGAGCGGCGGUCUUUUAAACCGCGCGGCGCGAGUUCGAUUCUCGCCGGGGGCA
rnacentral:tRNA from 1 species